UUCCCGCCUGUUUCAUUUCCUCUCGCCGGCUUCAAGCGGUGAAGUGUCCCGGGAUCCUGGCUGGCUCGCCCCUUUGGCCUAGAGCUCCUCUGGUACCGGCCGGCGCUGCGUCUUCGGCCGGCAACGCCCCGCUGACAGCAGGCCGCAGAGAGCGUAAUUGCGACCGCAGCCUGAGGGGGAGGGACCACGCGCAAGCAGGGGCGUAAGCCGUCACGUGACGAGGAAGUACCGUUGAUAGCUUUGUCCCCGCGUCGGCGGCGCUCUUGGAUGACGUAAGCCAGGGAGGGGCGGAGCGGGAGUGCGGCUCUCAGUGCGCGGUUUUAUUCAGGAAUACUGUGCCUAUCACUCAAUGUGGUUUCAACUUUCUGGCUAAAUGACUUUUGUGCCAGUGAUACCGGAAUCUUACAGCCAUGUUCUUGCAGAGUUUGAGUCUCUGGAUCCAUUACUGUCAGCCCUGAGGCUGGACUCUAGUCGUCUAAAGUGCACGAGCAUAGCUGUGUCUCGAAAGUGGUUGGCUUUGGGCAGUUCAGGAGGAGGACUCAAUCUCAUUCAGAAAGAUGGCUGGAAGCACAGGCUUUUUCUUUCACACAGGGAAGGUGCAAUUUCUCAGGUUGCCUGUUGUUUACAUGAUGAUGAUUAUGUUGCUGUAGCUACCAGUCAAGGUCUUGUAGUUGUUUGGGAAUUAAAUCAAGAGCGUCGUGGGAAACCAGAACGAAUUUAUGUGUCUUCCGAACACAAAGGCCGAAAAGUUACAGCUCUCUGUUGGGAUACAGCUAUUCUUAGAGUUUUUGUAGGUGAUCAUAUGGGGAAAGUUUCUGCCAUCAAACUCAGCACUUCCAAACAAGCAAAGGCAGCUGCUGCCUUUGUGAUGUUUCCUGUUCAGACAAUAACAACAGUGGACUCCUGUGUUGUCCAGUUAGAUUAUUUGGAUGGAAGACUACUUAUAUCUUCACUUACUCGAUCCUUCUUGUGUGACACUGAGAGAGAAAAGUUUUGGAAGAUUGGAAACAAGGAAAGAGAUGGAGAAUAUGGAGCUUGUUUUUUCCCUGCAAGAUGUAGUGUGGGCCAGCCACCCCUAGUAUAUUGCGCUCGUCCUGGCUCCAGGUUGUGGGAAGUGAACUUUGAUGGGGAAGUUAUCAGUACACAUCAGUUUAAGAACCUCCUCUCGUCGCCACCUCUCCCUGUGAUUACUCUAAGGACAGAACCUCAGUACGAUCAUACAGUUGGAUCCUCGCAGUCUUUGUCUUUCCCCAAACUCUUGCAUCUUAGUGAGCAGUGUGUGCUGACUUGGACAGAAAGAGGAAUUUAUAUUUUCAUUCCUCAGAAUGUUCAAGUUCUUCUUUGGAGUGAAGUCAAAGAUAUUCAGGAUGUGGCUGUCUGCAAGAGUGAGCUGUUCUGUUUGCACCUCAGUGGGAAAGUCUCACAUCUUUCCCUGUUAUCUGUGGAACGCUGUGUGGAACGCCUGCUAAGGAGAGGCCUGUGGAAUCUGGCUGCUCGCACUUGCUGUCUUUUCCAAAAUUCUAUCAUUGCCAGCAGAGGAAGAAAAUCUUUGACUGUAGAUAAAUUGGAGCAUUUGAGAUCUCAGCUGGACCUCACAACCUGUAGUGAUCUAAUUUCUCAACUGGAAGAAUUGAUCUUAAAAUUUGAACCGUUGGAUUCAGCUUGCAGCAGUAGAAGAAGCUCCAUUUCAUCACAUGAAAGUUUCAGCAUCUUGGACUCUGGUAUUUAUCGUAUCAUUAGUAGUAGAAGAGGCAGUCAGUCAGAUGAAGACUCUUGUUCCCUUCACAGCCAGACUCUCUCAGAAGAUGAGAGACUUAAAGAAUUCGCCUCACAUCAAGAAGAGGACCAACCAGAUCAGUGUUGUGGCUCACAGGGAAAUGAAGACAGUGUUUCUCAUGUUCCAGUGACGUUGGAGACAGAUAAGAAUGAAACUUUUCUCCCUUUCGGCAUUCCAUUAUCAUUUCGUUCUUCAUCUCCUCUUGUGUCUCUUCAGGCUGUCAAGGAAAGUGUUUCUAGCUUUGUGCGUAAAACUACUGAGAAGAUUGGCACCCUUCAUACAAGCCCUGAUCUGAAAGUGAGACCAGAACCCAGGGGUGAUGAACAGUCGUGUGAAGAGGAUAUGAGUCCAAUCACCUGCCCAAAGGAGGAAGAUACUGAGGGAGAAAAAGAAGUAACUGGUCAACCUCCAGAAGAAGAUAAGCUCCAAGAGCUCAAAAUAGCAACAGCAGAAGCAAUGACCAAGCUACAGGACCCACUGGUUUUAUUUGAACCCACAUCUCUGAGAAUGGUUUUACAGGAGUGGCUUUCACAGUUAGAAAAAACAUUUGCCAUAAAGGAUUUUUUAGGCAUUUCACAUACUGGCCACUCAUCCAUGACCCCGAACCAGGAUGUCCUAUUGCUUGAUGAGUCAAAAAAGGGGAUAUUAGAUGACGAUAAUGAAAAAGAAAAAAGAGACUCUCUCUGCAACGAAGAAACUGUGGAUCAAACAGCAUGUGAAUCUGUGAAUACUCUGAGGGAGCCCUUGGAUGACCUCUUUCGAGUAUCUUCUCCAUGCAGCAUAGCAAACGGUCUUCAGAAGGACUUGGCUGAAUUGACAACAUUGUGUUUGGAAUUAAAUGUAUUGAAUUCUGAGAUGAAAAGCACAAGUGGACAUGUGGACCACACUUUGCAACAGUGCUCUCCUGAAACUCUGGCUUGUCAGUUCCUAAAGAAGUACUUUUUUCUCCUGGACUUGACAAGAGCAAAGGAGAGUAUCAAGCUUAGUUACACUAACAGUCCUUCUGUUUGGGAUACUUUUAUUGAAGGAUUGAAAGAAAUGGCCAGUUCCAAUCCCACGUAUAUGGAGAUGGAAGAAGGAGACCUACCAACAAGAUUAAAGUUAUUGGAUGACUCGGUCCCUUAUGACAGUCCUUUGUUAAUUGCUUAUGCUACCCUAUUGUAUGAGAAAUUUGGGGAAUCUGCCCUUCGAGCCUUAAUCAGGUUUUACCCAUCCAUUUUGCCUUCGGAUGUCAUGCAACUUUGUCGUCAUCAUCCUGCUCAGUUUUUGGCCUAUUUAGACAGUCUGGUGAAAUCAAGGCCUGAAGAUCAACGGCCAUCCUUCCUCGAGGCCCUUCUACAACCAGAGUCUUUAAGAUUGGAUUGGCUGCUUUUGGCAGUGUCCCACGAUGCUCCCCCAAGCACCAGCACCAUGGACGAUGAAGGAGACCCCAGGCCUCAUUCACACUUGUUUUCCUGGGGUUAUAGUCAGCUGAUCCUUCAUCUAAUUAAACUCCCUGCGGAUUUUACAACCAAAGAGAAAAUGACUGACAUCUGUAGGUCUCAUGGUUUCUGGCCAGGAUAUCUUAUGCUCUGUUUGGAGCUGCAGAGAAGAAGAGAGGCCUUCACCAACAUUGUGUAUCUGAAUGAUAUGAGCCUGAUGGAAGGGGACAAUGGUUGGAUCCCAGAGACGGUAGAGGAAUGGAAGCUUCUCCUACAUCUCGUACAGAACAAGAGCACAAGGCCAGCCCCCAAGAAGUCACCAAAUGGGAACUUCAGUGAUGGGCCUUCCCCCAUCAAUGUGGAGAACGUGGCGCUCCUGUUAGCUAAGGCCAUGGGCCCAGAUCAGGCCUGGUCACUGCUACAGGAAUGUGGUCUGACCCUUGAGCUGUCAGAGAGGUUUACCAGAACCUGCGAUAUUCUGAGGAUUGCUGAGAAAAGGCAGAGGUAAUACCUGUCUGUCAUGCCAUUGUUAUGCCCUCUCCAUAGGUGCUUGGGGAAUAUAGAACUGCACAGAUUUUCAGAGGUGGACAGGAGUAUAGAGAUCAUCCAGUCCCAGCCCCUUGCUAACAGAUGAGGGGCUUGAGACUCAUCUGUUGAUUAAGGUGAAUAAGGGAAGAGGCUAAAGUAAUAUUUCAUUCAUCAUUAUGACCAAGAACUGUUUGAAUUAAGGUCAAUACCCAAUUUAAGAAUGUUAUUGGUACCAGAUUCCUAAUUGUCUCUGUCAGGUUUUAUUUUUUUAAUUGUGGUAAGAUACAGAUAACAUAAAAUUUACCAUCUUAACCAUUUUUAAGUGUUCAUUUCAGUAGUAUUAGGUAUAUCCACAUCAUCGUGCAACCAGUUUCCAGAACUUUUUCGUCUUGCAAAACUGAAACUCUGUACCUAUUAAAUAGCAAUUGUUCACUUUCCCCCUCUACCCAGCCCUAGCAACUAUCAUUCUGUUCUGCUUCUAUGAUUUUAACUACUCUAAGUACCUCAUAUAAGUGGAAUCAUACAGUGUCUUUUUGUGAUUGGCUUAUUUGACUUAGUUUAAUGUCCUCAGCGUUCAUCCAUGUUGUAACAUGUAUCAGAAUGUCCUUCCUUUUUAAGGCUGAAUAAUAUUCCAUUGUGUGGAUAUACUACAUUUUAUUUAUCCAUUCUUCCAUUGAUGGAUACUUGAGUUACUUCCACGUCUUAGCUAUUGUAAGUAAUACUGCUAUGAACAUGGGUCUAUAAAUAUUUCUUUGAGACCCUGCUUUCAUUUCUUUUGGGUAUGUGCCCAGAAGUGGAAUUACUGGGUCAUAUAGUAAUUCUAUUUUUAAAUUUUUUUUUUUUUUUUUUUUUUUGCUGAGGAAGAUUGGCCCUGAGCUAACAUCGGCUGCCAGUCUGCCUCUAUUUUGUAUGUGGGUCGCUGUCACAGCAUGGCUGCUAACAAGUGGUGUAGGUCUGCACCCAGGAACUGAACCCAGGCCACUGAAGUGGAGCGCACUGAACUUAACCACUAGGCCACCGGGCCAGCCCCUAUUUUUAAUUUUUUGAAGAACCUCCAUACUGUUUUCCAUAGAAGCUGCACUGUUUUACAUCCCACCUGCAGUGUCCAAGAGUUCCAAUUUCUCCACAUCCUUGCCAACACUAGAGCCUUGAUACAAAGCAUGCUUGAGAAAUGUGAUCGGUUCCUCUGGUCUCAACAGGCCUAGUGGAAGAAGAUUCAGCAGGAU